UACGAAGGGGGCUAGCGUUGUUCGGAUUUACUGGGCGUAAAGCGCACGUAGGCGGAUUGUUAAGUCGGGGGUGAAAUCCUGGAGCUCAACUCCAGAACUGCCUUCGAUACUGGCGAUCUUGAGUCCGGGAGAGGUGAGUGGAACUCCGAGUGUAGAGGUGAAAUUCGUAGAUAUUCGGAAGAACACCAGUGGCGAAGGCGGCUCACUGGCCCGGUACUGACGCUGAGGUGCGAAAGCGUGGGGAGCAAACAGG
rnacentral:rRNA from 1 species